ACGAAAGUGGAUUCUGCGUCACAUCUGAGUGUGGGGAACGGCCUGGGAGAUGAGCGGGUCACCUUUCCUGACCCCCAGGACUCGAGGUUGGCGUUACGUGUAUUUGCUUUGAGAGUUCUCAGGAGGAGCCUCCUGCUUCCGGGUUUGCUCCAGAACUUGCAUCUGGCCGGGAUAAGCGGCUCAGUGUUGGUGUGGUGGGUGUGCUGGGGUACCACUGAGGUGGCGGGCAAACACCAGAGCCUGAGGGAGAUGGUGGCAGAGUGAAUGUCUGGUCAGGACGGGCAGAGAGCCUCACCCUGCUCUAGACGUAUGGUUGGGCCCCGCUGAAAGGGCCGAUUGGAGCUGAGGCUCUGGGUCUCUGUCCACAGCUGCGUUCGGCAGAACCUUGCUUACUGGAAGGAUUCGUCACUCCCAGCUCUAACCGCGACAGAGACCCGUCAGGGGGCCUUUCCUGGGUGGCCUCAAGCAUGAAUUUGACAGAAAUGCACAGACACUUGGAAUCCAGCAGCUUUCACCGGCAGACUGAACAAUAAUCCUAACAGCAGAGACGUCCCACGUUUGCUGAGCCCCUGCUCUGCGCUGUGAGGCCACCUGUGCGUGUGGGGUCAAGGCACGAGAAGGCUGAGCGAGGCGGCAGACAGGGAUCAGACGUCCCCAGACCACCACCAGACGUCCUAGGGUCAAAUAGCUCGGCCCGAGGGCACCGAAACCUACCUCGAUCUCUCCAAGCCCGGGGUGCCUCCUAGGCCGCCAGCCCUGCUGGGGAACUGCCAUUCGCCUUGUGCUCACGGACCCCAUACUUCGGAGAAGGGACGCCCUCCUCGGCCACACAGGGCUCAGAUCUGUGUCCUCUGCUCUUCCUUGGACCCCAACGCCCACCUUUGUCUGGGAAGACCCUUUGGACAUUUUGGAGGGCAGAGAAGGACACGAUAAGACAGAGCUGGAGCCCUGAGGGCUGCGGAGGGCCCCCUCGCCAGCUGCAAUGGACCCCCAGCUCGCCUCACUCUCCAGGGGGCUUCUGAAGAGGAUGGGCAUGCUCUCCUGGUUUGGGACCGCGUGAUUUGAAGGUAGGCCCCACGGAGGGUCGAGAGCUCCAUCUUGCUGUUUGAAAGCCUGGUUUCUAGUCUAGCAAGUUGCCAAGUCUCCCCAGGCCCCACCCACCAAACCUAAACAGUAAUGCCACCAUUUCUAGGCCAGCCGGAGACGUGUGACAUCAAAUGCCAGUGUCCGCUGAAUGGAGGGGCUCCUGUGUAAGAGGUGACAUCUUGUUACCAAAACAAGGCAGUACAUUAUCAGCCGCUAAUCUGUGCUUAGUAACAAGC